rnacentral:rRNA from 1 species
AGCGAACGCUGGCGGCGUGCUUAACACAUGCAAGUCGAGCGAAGGUGUUUCAAGGGUAACCUUGAGAUACACUUAGCGGCGGACGGGUGAGUAAUACGUGGAUAACUUACCUCUAGGCCUGGGAUAACCCCGGGAAACUGGGGCUAAUACCUGAUAAGACCACAUUGUCUACGGACAAAGGGGUAAAAGGUGGCUGUGCAAACAGCUAUCGCCAAAAGAUAGGUUCACGUCCCAUCAGGCAGUUGGUGAGGUAAUGGCUCACCAAACCAAAGACGGGUAGCCGGCCUUGGCGGGUGAACGGCCACACGGGGACUGAGACACGGCCCCGACUCCUACGGGAGGCAGCAGUGGGGAAUAUUGGGCAAUGGGCGCAAGCCUGACCCAGCGACGUCGCGUUGGGAAGAAGGCC